rnacentral:tRNA from 1 species
GUCCAGAUAGUCUAGUGCUUAGGACAUUGCGUUGUGGCCGCAAUAACCCAGAUUUGAAUCCUGCUCUGGACA